rnacentral:rRNA from 1 species
UACGUAGGGUGCAAGCGUUGUCCGGAAUUAUUGGGCGUAAAGAGCUCGUAGGCGGUUUGUCGCGUCUGCUGUGAAAACUCGGGGCUUAACCCCGGGCCUGCAGUGGGUACGGGCAGACUAGAGUGCGGUAGGGGAGACUGGAAUUCCUGGUGUAGCGGUGGAAUGCGCAGAUAUCAGGAGGAACACCGAUGGCGAAGGCAGAUCGCUGGGCCGUAACUGACGCUGAGGAGCGAAAGCGUGGGGAGCGAACAGG